GGCUGAGUUGGGCCUUUUUUCACCACUGGCAGAGCCGUCCUCUGCGACACAGAUGACCAUUUUUUAUGACGGAAAAGUGUUGGUGUUCAAUGAUCUACCGCCGGAGAGGGCGGAGGAGAUCAUGGCCAUGGCCGGUAAGGGAAUUGUGCCUUGUUCCAGAUCUACCCCCACCACUGUCCCCGACAAGGUUAUGGAACCAACAAUCGCCAGAGAACAACCUCUGACCAAAGUCUCUAGCGAUUUACCCAUUGCAAGAAGAGCUUCUCUGCAUCGAUUCUUCGAGAAGAGAAAAGACAGAGUAUCAGCAAGAGCCCCAUACCAAGUGAAUUCACAGCCUUCUUCUAAACCGACUGGCGAAAGCUACAAAUUCAACAAGGAAAACCAGCAA
rnacentral:misc_RNA from 1 species